rnacentral:rRNA from 1 species
UACGUAGGCAGCAAGCGUUGUUCGGAGUACUGGGCGUAAAGCGUGCGCAGGCGGUUAUGUAAGACAGUUGUGAAAUCCCCGGGCUCAACCUGGGAACUGCAUCUGUGACUGCAUAGCUAGAGUACGGUAGAGGGGGAUGGAAUUCCGCGUGUAGCAGUGAAAUGCGUAGAUAUGCGGAGGAACACCGAUGGCGAAGGCAAUCCCCUGGGCCUGCACUGACGCUCAUGCACGAAAGCGUGGGGAGCAAACAGG